rnacentral:rRNA from 1 species
GACGAACGCUGGCGGCGUGCUUAACACAUGCAAGUCGAGCGGUAAGGCCCUUUCGGGGGUACGACGAGCGGCGAACGGGUGAGUAACACGUGGGUGACCUGCCCUCCAGCUCUGGGAGUAAGCCUGGGAAACCGGGUACUAAUACCGGAUAUGACUCCAUGACGCAUGUUGUGGGGUGGAAAGCCUUGUGCGGCUGAGGAUGGGCCCGCGGCCUAUCAGCUUGUUGGUGGGGUGAUGGCCUACCAAGGCGACGACGGGUAGCCGGCCUGAGAGGGCGACCGGCCACACUGGGACUGAGACACGGCCCAGACUCCUACGGGAGGCAGCAGUGGGGAAUCUUGCGCAAUGGGCGAAAGCCUGACGCAGCAACGCCGC